rnacentral:rRNA from 1 species
GACGAACCGUCCAAACGUUGUUCGGAAUCACUGGGCUUAAAGCGUGUGUAGGCGGAUUGGUAAGUACCUUGUGAAAUCCCACGGCUUAACCGUGGAACUGCUUGGUAUACUGCUUAUCUUGGGCCACUUAGGGGUUACCGGAACAAACGGUGGAGCGGUGAAAUGCGUAGAUAUCGUUUGGAACGCCAAUGGUGAAAACAGGUAACUGGGAGUGUGCCGACGCUGAGACACGAAAGCCAGGGGAGCGAACGGG